ACUCCUACGGGAGGCAGCAGUGAGGAAUAUUGGUCAAUGGGCGAGAGCCUGAACCAGCCAAGUAGCGUGCAGGAUGACGGCCCUAUGGGUUGUAAACUGCUUUUAUGCGGGGAUAACGUGCGCCACGUGUGGUGUAUUGCAGGUACCGCAUGAAUAAGGACCGGCUAAUUCCGUGCCAGCAGCCGCGGUAAUACGGAAGGUCCGGGCGUUAUCCGGAUUUAUUGGGUUUAAAGGGAGCGUAGGCCGCU
rnacentral:rRNA from 1 species